rnacentral:rRNA from 1 species
CCUACGGGAGGCAGCAGUGAGGAAUAUUGGUCAAUGGACGAGAGUCUGAACCAGCCAAGUAGCGUGAAGGAUGACUGCCCUAUGGGUUGUAAACUUCUUUUAUAAAGGAAUAAAACGAGGCACGUGUGCCUUUUUGCAUGUACUUUAUGACUAAGGAUCGGCUAACUCCGUGCCAGCAGCCGCGGUAAUACGGAGGAUCCGAGCGGUAUCCGGAUUUUUUGGGUUUAAAGGGAGCGUAGAUGGGUUGUUAAGUCAGUGGUAAAAUGUCCGGGCUCAACCCGGGCCGGCCGUUGAAACUGGGGAUCUUGAGUGGGCGCGAAGUAUGCGGAAUGCGUGGUGUAGCGGUGAAAUGCAUAGAUAUCACGCAGAACUCCGAUUGCGAAGGCAGCAUACCGGCGCCCGACUGACGCUGAGGCACGAAAGCGUGGGGAUCGAACAGGAUUAGAUACCCGGGUAGUC